UGGGUAAUCUGCCCUCGAUUCUGGGAUAGCCCGGGGAAACCCGGAUUAACACCGGAUAGCCUCUCGAGCUUACGAGCUCGUGAGAAAAGGUAGCUUCGGCCUCCGAUCGAGGAUGAGCCCGCGGCGGAUUAGCUUGUUGGUGGGGUAAUGGCCUACCAAGGCGACGACGGGUAGCCGGCCUGAGAGGGCGACCGGCCACACUGGGACUGAGACACGGCCCAGACUCCUACGGGAGGCAG
rnacentral:rRNA from 1 species